ACUUCGUUUCUAAACACCUCCUGCACUUUCAGCUUCAACAGCAAACAAAAACAAGAGCCUCGUGACCUCACGUUGGACCCGGGAGCCCAGACGAGCAGGGGACCCGGGGUCAGGCGGCAUGUCUGCUAUAGCGGUAAUCUCUGCACCCAACAUGCUGCUAGAACAUAUAACGCCAAGAUCAAGAGACCCGUGCUCCACCAACUGAGCCAGCCAGGCACUCCAGACAAGUCACCGUGUUGGCAGGGGUGAUUGAUCCCAAUCAUCGAGAGGAAGUUGGAAUUCUGUUACACAAUGGAAGAUGGAAGGACGAUGUUCGGCACCCAGUCAUUUUGAGGAUCAACGCAGUGUCAACACAAGGUUCCUGUUUUCUGCAAAGAACUAAAAAAGGCAACUUCCUAAGAAUUAAGGCUGAUAUACAAACAUAGAUUUAAAGUUGACAGGUCCCCGAGGAAGAUAUCUUAUUCCAGGUUCUCUAAAGCACCGAUCUCAAUGCUAUUGACAGGCAUGAACUAGCUCACUUCAAGCAUAUGAAGGGAAAACCAGAGCCUGACUUAAACUGUGCUGUACUGCAGGUGGUCAAAGGCAAAGAGACGCAGGAAGCAGGAAGGAAGGCAGAGGAACUGGAGGCCAGCCAGGAACAAGCUGGGAAUAGCCAGACUGCACUGCUCCUUAGUUACCAUGGGCUUUGUCCAGCCAGAUGUCCUAGCAUCUCCUUGGUUUUCUGCCUGAGGAAUCUGACUAUUCAUUCUGAAGUUAUCUUAAAUGCUGUCCACAUUCACAAAUACUCCUCAGAGGCCAAAUUCAUUUUUAAAUGUUCAUCCUAGCAAGAGAUUUUUUUUUACAUAGAUGGGGAUACAGCCUGGACCUAAAUAGAUUUAGGUUCAAGUCUCAUCAUUGUAAUUUACUACCUAAGUGAACUUAAGCAAUUGACUAGGAUUCUCUAAUCUUCAGCUUCCUCAUCUGCCCCAAAAUCGAGAUAAUUUACUCAAUAAAUGUUCACGUUUGAGUCCCUAUUACGUGACACGCUCAGAUUUGGAUGUUGAGAAUACAGAAGAAAACCACACAGGGUAGCUUCAUUCAAGUGAAGACGGAAGAGAAAUAAAUAGACAAGACAGUAUUGGAUGUUGAUAAAUGCUCGGAAGACAAUCCACCAAGUUGAUGUGCAAGAAGUGAUGGAGUUGCAGCAUCUUUGGAGGAGGAAGAAUUUGACAUUGGAGCUGAGACUGAGGACAAAAAGACAAGAAGAAACUCGCCUCGUGAAGAUUCGGGUGUGGAGCAUUCCAAUGAGAGGGAAAGAGAAUUUCAAAGGCCCUGAGGCGGAAGAAAGCGCUUGGUGUGUCCUUGGAAUAUAAAGAAGAUAUACA